UACGUAGGGUGCGAGCGUUGUUCGGAAUCACUGGGCGUAAAGGGCGCGUAGGCGGCUUUGUAAGUCGGGGGUGAAAGCCUGUGGCUCAACCACAGAAUUGCCUUCGAUACUGCAUGGCUUGAGACCGGAAGAGGUAAGUGGAACUGCGAGUGUAGAGGUGAAAUUCGUAGAUAUUCGCAAGAACACCAGUGGCGAAGGCGGCUUACUGGUCCGGUUCUGACGCUGAGGCGCGAAAGCGUGGGGAGCAAACAGG
rnacentral:rRNA from 1 species